GGAUUCCCCUAGUAACUGCGAGUGAAGCGGGAAAAGCUCAAAUUUAAAAUCUGGCGGUCUUUUGGCUGUCCGAGUUGUAAUCUAGAGAAGUGUUAUCCGCGCUGGACCGUGUACAAGUCUCCUGGAAUGGAGCAUCAUAGAGGGUGAGAAUCCCGUCUUUGACAUGGACUGCCAGGGCUUUGUGAUGCGCUCUCAAAGAGUCGAGUUGUUUGGGAAUGCAGCUCAAAAUGGGUGGUAAAUUCCAUCUAAAGCUAAAUAUUGGCGAGAGACCGAUAGCGAACAAGUACCGUGAGGGAAAGAUGAAAAGAACUUUGGAAAGAGAGUUAAACAGUACGUGAAAUUGCUGAAAGGGAAACGCUUGAAGUCAGUUGCGUUGUCCAGGGAUCAACCUUGCUUUUGCUUGGUGCACUUCCUGGUAUGACAGGUCAGCAUCAGUUUUGACUAUUGGAAAAAGGCCAAGGGAAUGUGGCAUCUCUGGAUGUGUUAUAGCCCUUGGUCACAUACAAUGGUUGGGAUUGAGGAACUCAGCACGCCGCAAGGCCGGGUUUUAAACCACGUACGUGCUUAGGAUGCUGGCAAUAUGGCUUUAAUCGACCCGUCUUGAAACACGGACCAAGGAGUCUAACAUGCCUGCGAGUGUUUGGGUGGAAAACCCGAGCGCGUAAUGAAAGUGAAAUGUUGAGAUCCCUGUCGUGGGGAGCAUCGACGCCCGGACCAGACCUCUUGUGACGGUUCCGCGGUAGAGCAUGUAUGUUGGGACCCGAAAGAUGGUGAACUAUGCCUGAAUAGGGUGAAUCCAGAGGAAACUCUGGUGGAGGCUCGUAGCGAUUCUGA
rnacentral:rRNA from 1 species